rnacentral:rRNA from 1 species
GCCCCCGAUUAGCUUGUUGGUGAGGUAAAAGCUCACCAGGGCGACGAUCGGUAGCUGGUCUGUGAGGAUGGUCAGCCACACUGGAACUGAGAUACGGUCCAGACUCCUACGGGGGGCAGCAGUCUAGAGGCUUCGGCAAUGGGGGCAACCCUGGCCGAGCGACGCCGCGUGUGGGAUUGAAGGCCUUCGGGUCGUAAACCACUGUCAUUGGGAAAGAAUGCCUGAAUGGUGAAUUCAGGAGAGACGGUACCCAAGAAGGAAGCCCCGGCUAACUCCGUGCCAGCAGCCGCGGUAAUACGGAGGGGGCAAGCGUUGUUCGGAUUUACUGGGCGUAAAGGGUGUGUAGGCGGUUGCGUAAGUCUGGUGUGAAAUCUUCACCGCUUAACGGGAAGAGGUCACUGGAAACUGCGUAACUCGAGUAUGGUAGAGGCAAGCGGAAUUCCUGGUGUAGCGGUGGAAUGUGUAGAUAUCAGGAAGAACAUCUGUGGCGAAGGCGGCUUGCUGGGCCAUCACUGACGCUGAGACACGAAAGCGUGGGGAGCGAACGGGAUUAGAUACCCCGGUAGUCCACGCUGUAAACUGUACGCACUAGGUGUGAGGGGUAUCGACCCCCCUUGUGCCGAAGUUAACACAUUAA